GGCUCAAUGGUCUAGUGGUAUGAUUCGUGCUUCGGGUAUUCCCAGCACCUGGUAACAGGUGUCAGUAAUGUGCGAGGUCUCGGGUUCGAUCCCCGAUUGAGCCC